AUAACCAAAUUAUUUAUAAACCAGAUGCCAUUGCCACUCAACUGAUUCCGCUUUGUUUUCUUCUCUAUCCAUUCCCUCACCAGAAUAUAGAGGUCAUGUUUUCCUGGUGAUCUUACAGUGCAGAGCUUCACAGGGUGUUGUCUUAAUGGGAGCAUUGACCUGAUUUUCAGUUUCCCAAUCUUCAUAUUGUUGCACCACUUUGAGGUGAAUUGUGUAAGCCCCUACUUUGCACAUAAAUGAAAAUGCAAAGUUGAGGGCUUUGCUUGGAGUUACCUAAGAUUAAUUGGAUUUCAUCUAUAAAUCACUCUUCAUUAUCCACCAUGUGCUUGAAACAAGACACUAUAUUUGACUCUUGGGAAGAUUGCCACUGACUUCAAGUGAUGUGAGUUUUCAUAUAGAAACAAAACAUGAAGUUCAUAAAAUCUACAAGGAAUGGUGUAACUAUCAUAAGUAAGUGGGAUAUGUAAUGACAAGUGUGAUAGUGUAAGAAGAAAGAAGUUACUCUACACAUGAUAUCAUCAAAGAGAAAAUGGCUAGAUGGUGAGGCAAACACACUACUUCUCUAGGGAUUCUCUAGGGAUGAGC
rnacentral:lncRNA from 12 species